rnacentral:rRNA from 1 species
GAUUUGUUUUUUCUUAACAUUAGAUUGCAGACGGCUCAUUAUAACAGUUAUUGUAUUAUUGACGUUAAAUUUUAGGUGGAUACCUGUGGUAAUUCUAGAGCUAAUACAUGCCACACAAAAUGUACAUUUACGUAUAUUAUUAAGGUAUUAUUUUUUUUCAAAUUAAAAUGUUUCGGCAGUAUGGAUGAUUCAAAGUAAUGGUUUUAAAACGCGAUUGAGUACCCSCCCUGUUAUGUAAGUUUCUGACCUAUCAGUUAGUCAGWAAKGUAUUGGACUACUGAGGGGUUGACGGGUAAAAAAAAAWWAKGGUUYUGUUCCBGAAAGGGAGNCAGAAAACCANNUACUACAUCUAAAGGAGCGGCNGGCCCGUAAAUUACCCCANCCUGAUAUUAUAGGUAGGGACAAAAAAAAAAAUAUUUUCCCUUAAGGGUAAUAAAUUGAUUUGAAAAAAAAGAAUCCAUUUUAUUUAAAAAUUA